rnacentral:rRNA from 1 species
AGCGAACGCUGGCGGCAGGCCUAACACAUGCAAGUCGAACGAACCCUUCGGGGUUAGUGGCGGACGGGUGAGUAACACGUGGUAACGUGCCUUUAGGUUCGGAAUAACUCAGGGAAACUUGUGCUAAUACCGAAUGUGCCCUUCGGGGGAAAGAUUUAUCGCCUUUAGAGCGGCCCGCGUCUGAUUAGCUAGUUGGUGAGGUAAUGGCUCACCAAGGCUACGAUCAGUAGCUGGUCUGAGAGGAUGACCAGCCACAUUGGGACUGAGACACGGCCCAAACUCCUACGGGAGGCAGCAGUGGGGAAUCUUGCGCAAUGGGCGAAAGCCUGACGCAGCCAUGCCGCGUGGAUGAUGAAGGCCUUAGGAUUGUAAAAUCCUUUCACCGGUGAAGAUAAUGACUGUAGCCGGAGAAGAAGCCCCGGCUAACUUCGUGCCAGCCGCCGCGGUAACAC